rnacentral:tRNA from 1 species
CGGGGCGUGGCGUAGCCAGGUAGCGCGUUCGGCUGGGGGCCGAGAGGUCGCAGGUUCAAAUCCUGUCGCCCCGA